AAAAAAGGUAAGCUACUAAGAGCGAAUGGUGGAUGCCUUGACUGGUAAAGGCGAUGAAGGACGUACUAGACUGCGAUAAGCUACGGGGAGCUGUCAAGAAGCUUUGAUCCGUAGAUUUCCGAAUGGGGCAACCCAAUGUAUAGAGAUAUACAUUACCUAUAUAGGAGCGAACGAGGGGAAUUGAAACAUCUUAGUACCCUCAGGAAAAGAAAUCAAUAGAGAUUGCGUCAGUAGCGGCGAGCGAAAGCGCAAGAGGGCAAACCCAGUGCUUGCACUGGGGGUUGUAGGACUGCAAUGUGCAAGAGCUGAGUUUAGCAGAACAUUCUGGAAAGUAUAGCCAUAGAGGGUGAUAGUCCCGUAUGCGAAAAACAAAGCUUAGCUAGCAGUAUCCUGAGUAGGGCGGGACACGAGGAAUCCUGUCUGAAUCCGGGUCGACCACGAUCCAACCCUAAAUACUAAUACCAGAUCGAUAGUGCACAAGUACCGUGAGGGAAAGGUGAAAAGAACUGAGGUGAUCAGAGUGAAAUAGAACCUGAAACCAUUUGCUUACAAUCAUUCAGAGCACUAUGUAGCAAUACAGUGUGAUGGACUGCCUUUUGCAUAAUGAGCCUGCGAGUUGUGGUGUCUGGCAAGGUUAAGCAAACGCGAAGCCGUAGCGAAAGCGAGUCUGAAUAGGGCGCUUAGUCAGAUGCUGCAGACCCGAAACGAAGUGAUCUAUCCAUGAGCAAGUUGAAGCUAGUGUAAGAACUAGUGGAGGACUGAACCCAUAGGCGUUGAAAAGCCCCGGGAUGACUUGUGGAUAGGGGUGAAAGGCCAAUCAAACUUCGUGAUAGCUGGUUCUCUCCGAAAUAUAUUUAGGUAUAGCGUUGUGUCGUAAUAUAAGGGGGUAGAGCACUGAAUGGGCUAGGGCAUACACCAAUGUACCAAACCCUAUCAAACUCCGAAUACCUUAUAUGUAAUCACAGCAGUCAGGCGGCGAGUGAUAAAAUCCGUCGUCAAGAGGGAAACAACCCAGACUACCAGCUAAGGUCCCUAAAUCUUACUUAAGUGGAAAACGAUGUGAAGUUACUUAAACAACCAGGAGGUUGGCUUAGAAGCAGCCAUCCUUUAAAGAAAGCGUAAUAGCUCACUGGUCUAGUGAUUUUGCGCGGAAAAUAUAACGGGGCUAAAGUAAGUACCGAAGCUGUAGACUUGCGCACAACUUAGAUUAUUUAAGUUUAGAAUAUGAGAAACUAAGUUAUGUUUAGUUAUAUUUUUACUGAUUUUUAUAGAGUAAAGAUAGAAAUAAAACUUAGUAAAAUCAGUAAAAAUAUUCUUAGGCUAAAGUUAAGUAGUUUAAGUUGUGUGCAAGUGGUAGGAGAGCGUUCUAUUUGCGUCGAAGGUAUACCGGUAAGGAGUGCUGGAGCGAAUAGAAGUGAGCAUGCAGGCAUGAGUAGCGAUAAUUAAUGUGAGAAUCAUUAACGCCGUAAACCCAAGGUUUCCUACGCGAUGCUCGUCAUCGUAGGGUUAGUCGGGUCCUAAGUCGAGUCCGAAAGGGGUAGACGAUGGCAAAUUGGUUAAUAUUCCAAUACCAACAUUAGUGUGCGAUGGAAGGACGCUUAGGGCUAAGGGGGCUAGCGGAUGGAAGUGCUAGUCUAAGGUCGUAGGAGGUUAUACAGGCAAAUCCGUAUAACAAUACUCCGAGAACUGAAAGGCUUUUUGAAGUC
rnacentral:rRNA from 1 species